rnacentral:rRNA from 1 species
UACGGAGGGGACUAGCGUUGUUCGGAAUUACUGGGCGUAAAGCGCACGUAGGCGGAUUUGUAAGUCAGGGGUGAAAUCCCGGGGCUCAACCUCGGAACUGCCUUUGAUACUGCAAAUCUCGAGUCCGGAAGAGGUGAGUGGAAUUCCUAGUGUGGAGGUGAAAUUCGUAGAUAUUAGGAAGAACACCAGUGGCGAAGGCGGCUCACUGGUCCGGUACUGACGCUGAGGUGCGAAAGCGUGGGGAGCAAACAGG